rnacentral:rRNA from 1 species
UAGCUGGUCUGAGAGGAUGAUCAGCCACACUGGAACUGAGACACGGUCCAGACUCCUACGGGAGGCAGCAGUGGGGAAUAUUGCACAAUGGAGGAAACUCUGAUGCAGCAACGCCGCGUGGAGGAUGACGCAUUUCGGUGUGUAAACUCCUUUUAUAUGGGAAGAUAAUGACGGUACCAUAUGAAUAAGCACCGGCUAACUCCGUGCCAGCAGCCGCGGUAAUACGGAGGGUGCAAGCGUUACUCGGAAUCACUGGGCGUAAAGCGCGCGCAGGCGGCCUUUUAAGUUGGAUGUGAAAGCCUAUGGCUCAACCAUAGAACUGCAUCCAAAACUAUCAGGCUAGAGUGUGGGAGAGGAAGAUGGAAUUAGUUGUGUAGGGGUAAAAUCCGUAGAGAUAACUAGGAAUACCAAAAGCGAAGGCAAUCUUCUGGAACAUUACUGACGCUGAGGCGCGAAAGCGUGGGGAGCAAACAGGAUUAGAUACCCUGGUAGUCCACGCCCUAAACGAUGAAUGUUAGUCGUCGGGUAGCUAGUCUAUUCGGUGAUGCAGCUAACGCAUUAAACAUUCCGCCUGGGGAGUACGGUCGCAAGAUUAAAACUCAAAGGAAUAGACGGGGACCCGCACAAGUGGUGGAGCAUGUGGUUUAAUUCGAAAAUACGCGAAGAACCUUACCUAGCCUUGACAUAUUUUAGAACACUUUAGAGAUAGAGUGGUGCCUUCGGGAGCUAAUAUACAGGUACUGCACGGCUGUCGUCAGCUCGUGUCGUGAGAUGUUGGGUUAAGUCCCGCAACGAGCGCAACCCUCGUCACUAGUUACUAACGGUUCGGCCGAGGACUCUAGUGAGACUGCCUUCGCAAGGAGGAGGAAGGUGAGGACGACGUCAAGUCAUCAUGGCCCUUACGGCUAGGGCAACACACGUGCUACAAUGGCCAGGACAAUGAGAAGCGAUACCGCGAGGUGGAGCAAAUCUAUAAACCUGGUCUCAGUUCGGAUUGUAGUCUGCAACUCGACUACAUGAAGCUGGAAUCACUAGUAAUCGUAGAUCAGCUAUGCUACGGUGAAUACGUUCCCGGGUCUUGUACUCACCGCCCGUCACACCAUGGGAGUUGAUUUCACCCGAAGCGGGGAAGCUAAACUGGCCACCCUCCACGGUGGAAUCAGCGACUGGGGUGAAGUCGUAACAAGGUAACCGUAGGAGAACCUGCGGUUG